UGGGAAGGCUAAUCAAGCUUAGUAGGGCUGCUAACUUUACUAUAAGGGUGUUGAAUCCCUUCUUUUCAU
rnacentral:tRNA from 1 species